rnacentral:rRNA from 1 species
UAAUACGGGGGGUGCGAGCGUUGUCCGGAAUCACUGGGCGUAAAGGGCGCGUAGGUGGCUUUGUAAGUUUGCGGUGAAAGCCCGGGGCUCAACCCCGGGUCUGCCGUGGAUACUGCAAGGCUUGAGUACUGUAGAGGCAGGUAGAAUAUCGGGUGUAGCGGUGGAAUGCGUAGAGAUCCGAUAGAAGACCGGUGGCGAAGGCGGCCUGCUGGGCAGUAACUGACACUGAGGCGCGACAGCGUGGGGAGCAAACAGG